rnacentral:tRNA from 1 species
GGCCAGGUAGCUUAAUGGUAAAGUGUUGGUCGUCUGGCGCGCCGGAGCCACCUCGACGAGGUAGGCAGGGGUUAGGUUUAACCUAGGCGAGAGAUUUGCCUGUCGCGGACCACCAAAGAUUGCAAGUUCAAGUCUUUUCCUGGCUA